GAGUAACACAUGGUAACCUGCCUCGAAGACGUGAAUAACCCCGCGAAAGCAGGGCUAAUACACGAUAGUAAUGAGUGGCGUAAGCCGUUCAUUUAAAGUUCAGGCGCUUCGAGAGGGGCCUAUGGCCUAUCAGCUAGUUGGUGAGGUAAUGGCUCACCAAGGCAAUGACGGGUAGCGGGUGUGAGAGCAUGACCCGCCUCACUGGGACUGAGACACUGCCCAGACUCCUACGGGAGGCUGCAGUCAAGAAUCUUCCACAAUGCCCGAAAGGGUGAUGGAGCGACGCCGCGUGACUGAUGAAGCCCUUCGGGGUGUAAAGGUCUUUUAUCGGGGACGAACAAAACGGUACCGAUGAAUAAGAGGUUGCAAACUCUGUGCCAGCAGCAGCGGUAAUACAGAGCCUCAAGCGUUAUCCGGAUUUAUUGGGCGUAAAGCGUGGCGGCGGCUUUUAAGUUAACGGUUAAAGCUCGAAGCUCAACUUCGAUCUCGCCGCUAAAACUAGAAAGCUAGAGAAUGGGAGAGGCAAGCGGAAUUGCCGGUGUAGGGGUAAAAUCCGUUGAUAUCGGCAAGAACACCAAAUGCAAAGGCAGCUUGCUAGAACAUUUCUGACGCUGUCGCACGAAAGCGUGGGGAGCAAAGAGGAUUAGAUACCCUCGUAGUCCACGCUGUAAACGAUGGAUACCAGACAUUGGGAGUAUCGACCCCCUCGGUGUCGUAGCCAACGCGUAAAGUAUCCGCUGGAAGUACGGUCGCAAGAAUAAAACUCCAAGGAUUUGACGGGGAACCGCACAAGCGGUGGAUCAUGCGGUUUAAUUCGAUACAAGCGAAGAACCUUACCAGGGUUUGACAUCCUGCGAGUCUCUUGGAAACGAGAGAGUGCCUUCGGGAGCGCAGUGACAGGUGGUGCAUGGCUGUCGUCAGCUCGUGUCGUGAGAUGUUGGGUUAAGUCCCGCAACGAGCGCAACCCACGUCGUUAGUUGCCAGCAUUUAGUUGGGCACUCUAGCGAGACCGCCGGUGAUAAACCGGAGGAAGGUGUGGAUGACGUCAAGUCAUCAUGCCCCUUACAUCCUGGGCUACACACGUACUACAAUGCUACGGACAAAGGGCAGCAAGCUCGCGAGAGUUAGCAAAAUCCCAUUAAACCGUGGCUCAGUUCAGAUCGUAGGCU
rnacentral:rRNA from 1 species